AUGACGUAUCAUUAGCAGUGUUUACUAUACAAAGAGUAUAUAAGGUACUAUACAGUUCAUUUUACGCAGAUAGAUUUAAAUGAUCUGUAGACAAUUUUAUGUUAAAUUUUUACUAAAAUAUUAUUAUAUAUUAUGUCACUUAUAAUGUGCAAAUAAAUCAUUGACAUAUUUAA